GAUGAAGAACGCAGCGAAAUGCGAUAAGUAAUGUGAAUUGCAGAAUUCAGUGAAUCAUCGAAUCUUUGAACGCAUCUUGCGCUCCUUGGUAUUCUGAGGAGCAUGCCUGUUUGAGUGUCAUUAAAUUCUCAACUACACUGACUUUGAAUUGGUGUGGCUUGGAUUUGGGGGGAAAAUUGUUGUGGGCUUUUUGUAUAGUCUGCUCCCCUGAAAUUGAUUAGCGGUACCUUUGUAGAACUGUCUACAGGUGUGAUAAUUAUCUACAUCUUAGACAUCUGCUGGAAUGCUGCUUUCUAAACCUUACUUGUAUUGACAAUCUUGACCUCAAAUCAGGUAGGACUACCCGCUGAACUUAAGCAUAUCAAUAAGCGGAGGA
rnacentral:misc_RNA from 1 species